AUGGCGGACGAGGAGCAGAUGGAGCGGAAGGAGGAGGCAACCGAGAUUGCACCUUUUGAUCCAACCAAGAAAAAGAAGAAGAAGAAGGUCGUCAUCCAAGAUCCUGCUGAUGAGGUUGAUAAGCUGGCAGAGAAGACGGAGGGCUUGUCAGUCACUGAGUCUGGUGAGGCAAGCUUCGUGGGAUUGAAAAAGAAAAAGAAGAAACUUGUGGAACUUGAUCCAUCACUUGUUGAGGCUGGAGAUGGUGAAGACACUCUUGAUGAUCAAGUUGGAGAGGAUGAACAAGGAGAAGGGAUUGUGCUGGGUGGAGCAACCCAAUACCCAUGGGAAGGAACUGAUAGAGAUUACAAAUAUGAUGAGCUGCUUGGCAGAGUCUUCAAUAUCCUGCGUGAGAAUAAUCCAGAUCUUGCUGGUGAUAGACGAAGAACAGUUAUGCGGCCUCCUCAAGUUCUUAGGGAAGGCACAAAGAAGACAGUUUUUGUGAACUUCAUGGACUUGUGCAAAACAAUGCAUAGGCAACCUGAACAUGUGAUGAUGUUUUUACUUGCUGAGAUGGGAACAAGUGGAUCCCUUGAUGGGCAACAAAGGUUGGUUAUCAAAGGAAGAUUUGCCCCGAAGAACUUUGAAGCUAUACUCAGGAGAUAUAUCAAUGAAUAUGUCAUAUGUAAUGGAUGCAAGAGCCCAGAUACCAUCCUUUCCAAGGAGAAUCGGUUGUUCUUCCUUCGUUGUGAACAAUGUGGUUCGUCAAGGUCAGUUGCUCCUAUCAAGGCUGGAUUCGUGGCGCAAGUUGGGCGUCGGAAGGCUGGAACUUAA
rnacentral:rRNA from 1 species